rnacentral:rRNA from 1 species
AUGAAUUGUCCAGAAAUGGCUAACUCACAUGAUGAACCGGAGAAGAAGCUACAAGAUUCAAAUGGAACACCGAUGUGUGACUUACGUGAUGAACUGGAGAAGAAGCUACAAGAUUCAAAUGGAACACCGAUGUGUCUUCGUCUAGAAUUUUUGAAAGCCAUCACAUGUAAUUUUUCCACUGAAUCAGAACUUGGCAGAGGUGGGUAUGGAGUGGUUUACAAGGGAGUUCUUCAGAGUGGGAAAAUCAUUGCCGUGAAGAAGCUUUUUGAAAUACAUCUACUCGACGAUAAAACGUUCCAGAAUGAAGUCACUUAUCUUAUGGAGACCAGGCACCAAAAUAUUGUACAAUUUAUUGGUUACUGUGCUGAAUCAACUUUCGAAUUGAUGAAACAACCUAAUGGGAACUUUAUUUGGGCUGAAAUACCAAAAAGGUUGCUCUGCUUCGAGUAUGUAUGCAACAAAAGCCUUGACAAGUAUAUUUCCGAUGAAUCUUCGGGCCUUGAAUGGAAUAUCAGAUACAAGCUAAUCAAGGGAAUUUGCAGCGGUCUGCAGUUCCUUCAUGACAAAUGCCGUAUCGUUCAUCUGGAUCUUAAGCCUGAAAAUAUAUUGAUGGACUCUAUGAUGAUGCCGAAAAUCACAGAUUUCGGUUUGUCGAGGAUCUUUGGUGAGCAGCAAACACGAAUUGUCACUGCUAAACCUGCAGGAACACGUGGAUAUAUGGCACCAGAAUACUUACUUCAAGGUGUAGUCUCAAGCAAGGCAGAUAUCUUCAGUCUGGGUGUCAUAGUUAUAGAGAUUAUCACAGGCCGUAGAGACUAUCCACUUUUCCAGCAAGACAGUCCCCACAGUACUGCUACAUCUUGUCAGCAUUUCGUAGAGAAAGUACUUACAAGUUGGAGAAAGAAAUUCAAAUCCGCAUCGAAGUAUAUAUCAAUGGAAAAAUAUAGCCAACAAGUAGAACUAUGCAUCGUUAUAGCCCUAGCAUGUGUGGACCCUGUUAUGGAGAAAAGACCUACAGCAAAGGAUAUAGUCCAAGUGCUCAAUGCAGCUGACCAGAUGGAAGCCCGCGAAGAGUUGCCUUUUGAAAUGCAGUGCAAGGACAGGUUGCUGGUUCUACACACUACUAUAAGCAAGGAACUGAUACCACACAGUAACAGUGAAGACAUGUUCGGCAAAGAGACUGAUGGUAAAGUGGGGGACGUGAAAAAACAACAGGAGGGUUGGUCACCGACAACACCCUUGUCAGAGUCAAGCACAUGCACUCAGAAUCACAAACAGGCAGUGAAGGAGUCUAGUACGCCAGAACAAGCAAAUGAGAAAACCAAUGAGAUGGAGGCCCAUGAAGAGUUGACAUCCAAUACGCUGUACACGGACAAGCUGCUGGUACAAAACACUGCAUGCAAAGAUCUCACACCCCUGAGUGUCACAGAAGAUAUGUUCAACUACAGGAUAGAUGGCAAAGUGGUGGAUGAGACUACUUGUGAGGGUUUUUCACCAGCGCCUUUAUUGGAGUUGAGUACAAACAAUCAGAAUUAUCAAGAAGAAGAGAAGGAAUCUAGCAAGCCACAAGUAGCUAGUGGUACAACACCUAAGAUAAUUGCAAUCUGUAGCAAACUUCUCGAUGUCCACCCACCCGAGCUCAACUUCCCCGUCGAACCCAACAAGUUGGUCACAUGUUCACUGCAUCUAACUAACAGAAAUAAUAAUCAAGUGGUGUUUAGGCUUAUGGAGAAGAGAUAUAACUGGAUGUGCUUUCUGAAGCUGCCACUAUAUGGCAUUGUGCCCCCGAGGUCAACUUACACUCUUGUUGUGACAACUGAUAAAAGGGGAAGCUUGCCAACAGAAAGAGAGGUUGAUUUAAUACUGCAGACUGUUAUAAGUAAUGAGUAUAUCACGCCUUAUAAAAGAGGACAUGAGUGGGACAAUUAUUUUGAGAAAGCUAAAAAGGUUGAGAAAGUGGUGCAUACGGUCCCCUUGAAAGCUAUUUAUUCUCAGAAGGGGAAGAUGUCUUGUGAGGUGGAAGCCUGUGAAGAGUUGCCAUUGGAUAUGCAGUGCACGGACAAGUUGGUUGUAAAUACUUUGAGCAACGAUCUUGCACCCCAUAGUGAAUUGGUGGAUGAGGUGAAAUCUGAUAGGGGUUUGUCACCAACACACUUGUGGGAGUCAAGCAUACACAAUCAAAAUUGUCUAGAGGGGGCACAAUCAGCACAUGACAUAACCACUGAGAUUGAGAUGGAAGCCCCUGAAGAGUUGCCGUCGGAUAUGCAGUACACGGACAAGUUGCUGGUACUAAACACUACUAAAUGCAAGGAUCUAACAAUGCCGAGUGUCACGGAAGACUUGUUCAAGAACGAGAUAGAUGGCAAAGUGGUGGAUGAGACUUCAUCCCAACUGUCACGGAAAACUUGUUCAAGGACGCAUUUAUUGGAAUCGAGCACAGUCAGUCAGAAUUAUCAAGAGGAAGUGAAGGCCACCAGUGAGCCACAACUAGCUAGUGACACAACAGCUGAGGUGGAAGCCUGUGAAGAGUUUCCAUUGGAUAGGCAGUGCACAAACAAGUUGGUUGUAAGUACUGCGAGCAAGGAUCUCGCACCCCAUAGUGUGACUGAAGACCUGUUCAUCAACAAGACAGAUGGUAAAUUGGUGGGUGAGGUGACGUCCGAUGAGGUUUUGUCAGACCUACAAUGGGGGCAAGCAGGGGUGGUGGGCGCCCCGGGUCUCCGGCGGUGGGUCAGGGUAUGUCCUCUGCCCAACAACCAGCAGGUGCAGCGGCAUCAAGCACCAUCGUCGCCGGUUGCCCCGGUGAUUUUGUGUGAAUCAAACAUAGGCAAUGGAAAUUAUCCAGAGGGGGCAAAGGAUUCUAAUGAGACACACUCGGCACAUGACACAACCACUGAGACUGAGGUAAUCCCAGGCUCCAGCACCAUUCUUGACGUCUGCCCACUUGAGCUCCACUUUAGCUUCCAACCCAACAAGUUGAUCCCAUGCUCACUCGAACUAACAAACAACACAGUUGAAAAUUUGGUAUUUGUGCUCAAGGAGAAGAGCGAUAACAAGUCAUCUUUCUUAUGUCUGCCCUUGUAUGGAAUUGUUGCCCCGAGGUCCACUUACACUCUCGUUGUGACAAUCAAUAAACACAAAAACCUACCAGAAGAAAGAACCAUAGAUUUAAUCCUGCAGAGCAGUACAAUUGGUGAUGAUUCAUUAUGUAGUGAUGCCAAAUACAUUUGCAAAGAACGUUUUAAGGACGUCAACGAGUUAGGGAAUACGGUGCACAAGGUGUCAUUGAAAGCUGUUUGUGCCUCACAAGGAGAGACGACAUUCGAGCACGCAACCCUCCCUCUAAUAAAGAUCAUAUCGGUGGAGGAUACAGAUUCGCUCCAUUCCAUGGAUGCAAAUCAGACAGAACCAUUAAUUGUAACAGGUUCAUUUGGGUAUGUUCACAUGCAGAAUUAUGGCCUACAGGAAUCGGUAGGUUCGGUUGAAGCCUCAAGCUCGCAAAUAGUUUGUGUUAAAUUCAUUACUCGAAAGAGAUGGUUUCUGGCUGGGUCAAGUGAUGGUUUUGUUCAUGUGUACGAGUAUGAAAAUAAAAUGGAAAAAAUCACGAGUUUCAAAGCUCACAAUCUUGGUGUUCGUUCGCUAGCCAUUCAUCCGACCCAGCCGUAUGUGCUGUCAGGAUCUCGUGCACGAAUAAGGCUUUGGGACUGGGACUGGAAGUGCAUACGAACAUUUGAAGAACACUGGGGCUAUGUUUGUGGAGUCACAUUUAACUCAGAGGACCCCAACAGUUUUGUUAGUUUUACUGAUAGUUUGAAGGAUCACACAAUACAGGUUUGGAGUCUUGAUUCUACCAAAUACAAGUAUAGUCUGUCUGGGCAUUCGCAUAACGUGAGAUAUGGGACAUGCAGAAGAAUGAGUGUGCUCGUACACUACCGCAUAGAUCCGCAGUUCUUUCCGUCGUCUCCCAUCCCAAUCUUCCCGUUCUAA